GCCUCGGUAGCUCAGCUGGUAGAGCAGCGGACUGAAAAUCCGCGUGCCGGCGGUUCGAGUCCGCCCUGAGGCACCA
rnacentral:tRNA from 1 species